rnacentral:misc_RNA from 1 species
UCCUUCUUAUCGAAGGCAGUUUCCUAAGAGUGCAUCCCUUGCGGGAUUGGCAACAUAGGAUGGGGGUUGCGCUCGUUGCGGGACUUAACCCAACAUCUCACGACACGAGCUGACGACAACCAUGCAGCACCUCUGCUGGUUACCGAUUUGACGGUUCGCCUCAACUUUCAUCAAGACUACUUCCAGUAGUUCAAGCCUAGGUAAGGUUCUUCGCGUUGCGUCGAAUUAAACCACAUGCUCCACCGCUUGUGCGGGCCCCCGUCAAUUCCUUUGAGUUUCAACCUUGCGGCCGUACUCCCCAGGCGGCACAUUUAAUGCGUUUGCGUCGGCACGAAGGGGGUCGAUACCCCUCACGCCUAAUGUGCAUCGUUUACAGCUAGGACUAC